rnacentral:rRNA from 1 species
GACGAACGCUGGCGGCGUGCCUAAUACAUGCAAGUCGAACGCAGUGGGGACGGGUGAGUAACACGUGGGUAACCUCCCAUCAGAGGGGAUAACACUUGGAAACAGGUGCUAAACCGAUACUGAUGGAUGGACCCGCGGUGCAUUAGCUAGUUGGUGAGGUAACGGCUCACCAAGGCCACGAUGCAUAGCCGACCGAGGAGGGUGAGCGGCCACUGGGGGACUGAUACACGGCCCAGACUCCUACGGAAGGCAGCGUGAGGGAAUCUUCGGCAAUGGACGAAAGUCUGACCGAGCAACGCCGCGUGAUUGAAGAAGGUUUUCGGAUCGUAAAGUUCUUUUGUUAGAGAAGCGGUAUCUAACCAGAAAGCCACGGCUAACUACGUGCCAGCCGCCGCGGUAAUUC